CUUCAGUGAUGAUAUUGAUGACGAGUCUGCUAAGACUAGAUCUGUCUCGGGAUACCUGAUCCAGGUAGCAUGUUCUGUGCUGCUGUGUAUUGAGGUUCCCGAGCACAGUGUGUCUUCGACUGAUGACUGAGGCAUUUGUCUGAGAAGA